AUCACUGUGAAUUCCUUUUUGUUUUUAUUCAAUUGGUUGUAAUCCAUCAUUUACAUUCUUCAGGUGACCUCAAUUUGGCCAAUGAGGGACCUUCAAGUUUGUUCCAUCCCCAAGCUUUUAGCAUAUAUUUGCUUUCUGGCCAAGACGUUCCAGGCUCAUCAUGUACUGUCUGUCUUGGACCAAGGAACCCGGUGCUCCUUACUGGGGAGUGGUAUUAGAGACCAACAUCUGGAUGUCAGGUGUACUUAUACCAACUCUGGUUAUUAUUAGAAAGAGCCACCAAUUUUAAAGGCCAAAUUAUAUCUAUUUUAUAGUGUAUUUUAUGGAUUAUGGGAGAGGCUGAGCAUUUUUUCAUGUUUUGUGGCCAUGUCCGUUACCUUUUUGUGAAUUGCUUACUCAAGUCCUUUGUGGGAUCUUUCUCUUACUAAAGUGAGUUAAUAGAUUAAAACACUUAAAAUAGUGCCUGACACACAGUAAGGUUACAUAUUGCUAGGGGAUAUUACUUCGUAUUUAUCCUUUGUUAAAAGUAUCCAGAGUGACUUUUAAACUCAGUGCCCUGGACACGUGUUGCUCUUCUGCAGUCAAUGGUGUGGGGACCUGUGCCUGCAUCCCAUGAUGCUGUCUGCCACUGCCCAAAAUGUAUGGGUCUACAAGUCACACCUCCCUUGUCGUUCACUGGGCUCUGGUUCGUGGUGAUGGCAAACAUGGGAUGGCAGCCAAGCCAUACUGACAGAGAUCCACAGCGUACAGCCUCUGAGCAUAGUUAAUGGGCCCCAAAGCCACUGCGGCUCACUAUUCCUCUCCCACCCUACAGGAGGUAGAUUGGGAAGUGGAGCUGGCCGUGGUCAUUGGAAAGAAAGGCAAGCACAUCAAGGUGAAGUGGAAAAGGUGGGCUCCCAGGCCAGAGUGCAGCAGAGUCCCCAGCUCCUGCCUCUCCUAGUUCUGACCUCGCUCACCAACACAUGGUGCCAGCUGUCCCUGACACUAGGAAGCAGUCAGCCUCCUUGCUCCCUGACACUGCCUUUCCCUUCACCCACCUUUGGCUGGCUCUGGCUACUAACAUGGGAUAACAGCUUUGAGAUCCCUUGCCACAGGUGUUGGUGUCACCCAUGAUCUAUCCUCCUGUAUGGCCAAAUCCCCUGCCCCCAUAGGCCACAGAUGCCAUGGCCCACGUGGCCGGCUUCACUGUGGCUCAUGACGUGAGUGCUCGUGACUGGCUAACAAGAUGCAAUGGGAAACAGUGGCUGCUGGGAAAAACCUUCGACACCUUCUGCCCUCUGGGCCCUGCCUUGGUGACCAAGGACAGUGUAGCAGAUCCACACAACUUAAAGAUCUGCUGUCGAGUGAAUGGGGAAGUGGUCCAGAGCAGCAACACCAACCAGAUGGUAUUCAAGACAGAGGACCUGAUAGCCUGGGUGUCCCAGUUUGUUACCUUUUACCCAGGGGAUGUCAUCCUGACUGGGACCCCCCCACCUCCACCCAGGUGUCGGUGUAUUCAGGAAACCUCCUGUCUUUCUCAAGGUCUCUGAAGGUCCAGACAGCACUGAUGGCGAGCUUUGGGUCCGCACACUCUGGAAAGAAGAGAGAAGUGAAGGCUCUAGGUAGGGAGAACAGAGAGCCACUGGGCACAGGCUUCUCUCCUCUUGUUUAAAGAAGCCCAGGGAGGGAUAGAGCUCUGACUGGACAGAAGACUGUACUCUGCAGCCUGCCUUCCUAGAGUUGGGUUGUCACUGUCCUGCAGGGGGCAGCAGCCACCAGCAAACACCACUGCCUGCAGGAGCCUGGGCUGACUGGUUGGGACUCACCGAAGAUCCCUUCUUCCUGGGCGGUGGCCUGCAGGAACUGGAACAGCUGCUCUGUGUAGCCCAACUCUGCAGAAGAGAGAAGACCUAGACCUGGCACCCAGCACAGACACAGCCUGCCUCGAGGACUGCAAGGGAACAAGGGCCUCACCAGUAUCGGGCAGCUGGCCCUGGCGGAGGAAGGCGGCAGCCUGUGCAAAGGCCUUGAGCAGCGGGCUGAGCAGGCGGCAGAGGAAAAGAAAGAAAUCUGGGCAGUGUGACUGCUGGCUGAGCUGGAGGGGACAGGCCGGGGUGAGUGCAGCUCCCCACCGCCUCCCUACCACCUCCCUCCAGGGGCAGCUUUUUGAAACACACCCUGAAGUACCGGCCGUCAGCCUCUCCGAAGUCAUCACUGUCACUAUCAGUAAAGUCCCCACUCGGUUUCCACA
rnacentral:lncRNA from 1 species